rnacentral:lncRNA from 1 species
CUACUUCUCUGUCACCAUUUGUUAAUUUCAAUGAAGCUAGCACUUUGGUAGAUCUGCAGGAGGAUGAGGCAAACUCUCUUGCACCUUCUUGCCAUUUUUCACUAUAAACAUUGUGCUCAUUCCCCAUGUUUGAUGGAUGUCAAAAUGACAAUGCAAUAACCAGAGCCCUAUUCAUUAUGAAAGGAAGAUUUUAUCAGCAAAUGUCAUAUGUGUUGUGAUGUUUAGGAGUUUUGUGAAGAAGAAUACCUGGAUUGUUGGCAACAAACCGAAUUGCCGCCCAACCUCCUACUGGGACUCCAAUAGUGUUCAAGUAAGGAGGAUCCUCCAGGUUAAAUUUUGCUGUUUGUUGAUCAUAGUUUCCUGUGCCAUAGCCAAUGACAUAAAAGCUGUGUCCAUGAAGAUGAAUUGGAUGAUUUUCUGUUGUGAGUGUGCCAGUAUUCUGGAAGAUGAUUUGUAUCCUGCUCCCAUACUCGAAAACUAUUGCUCUGGUCCCAUUUGCAGCCUGCGUGUCAUUGGCUAUGUCAUUGGGUGCCCCAUUGACAAAGUCAUAGGCUUUUUCCGGCGUGGUUGGGAAAUCUAAAGUGAAGUAACCUUCCAGUUGCUUGUAAUAUGCUUCCAAAAUCGAGACUUUAGGUUCGAUGAAGCUUAUGUUGUUCAUUGAAGCUGCUAGUCUUCCUUUUCUGGGCCCUUGGCACUUGUUGUUUGGAUUUUCAGAGUUGCAUUUGUUUACAUUUAGCCCGAUUGUGAUAAAGAGAUGAGCGUCAAUGUUUCUUGGAACAUCAACUGCAUUUAGACUUCUGAGCCCAUCCAUGACAGUCUUAACAGCAAUAUUAUCAUUGAAAAUAGGUAACUUAGCUGGUACUGUUACAUUGUUAGGCAAUGCACCAAUGUAUUGGAAAUUAGCUAUUGCUGAUGUGUUUUGAAACUUGACGUUCUUUGCAGACUCGUACGGACCCAUGGCCAUGGAGUAUCUCCCAACGGUUUGAUCAGCUGUGACAAGAAUGUUCAUUGUCUGUCCAGGUACAAGCAUCACACGCUCUGUUGUAUAAGGCUUGGUGUAUUCGCCAUCUACUUCCACUAUGGUCAACCUGUGAUUAGCUAUGGUGAAGAAGGUCUCCAUGUUAAUACCAGCAUUUAUCAGUCUUAGCAGAUAUCGCCGGGCCAGGGAAUUUCUUGUUGACUGUUACAAUCUCGUUUGUUUGGCAUAGCCUGUUGCAGCGCCAAUCCUGCCAAUAUUCAUUACUUGAAGAGUGAACAAGAGAAAGCUAAGCCGGAACAAGGACGGGACAGCUGAACUGGUCAUCUUGAAUGGAAAGAGACAAGGAGAUUUGAGGUUGAAAGAUACUGCUUAAUGCAACUGGUUUUUAUAGCGUCUGAAGGCGAAAAAUAGGAAAUAAAAUAAAUAGAGUUGAGGAAAAGUUUCAUGAUUUGGAGAGUUGGGAACAGAGACAUUAGUGAUUAUAAGGUGUUGGGAAAGCGUGACUUGUUUCUUGACCCCAGCGUGAGAUUGAAGGCAACACACGAGUUACUAUAAAAGGAGAAAGAUACUCUUAGUUAGUGUCUGCUCUUUGAUUUUGAAUCAGUAAAAGCUUUAUACAUUAUGAUGCAGGAUUCUCUACCAAACCGCUGACUGAUCUGGACCAACCCGGUGACCUAAUGACUAUUUCUUUUGACAGGUCGUUAAUCAUCAACUUUAGGAUCAGCCGGGAUUAGUGAGGUGCAUGAUUUAGCAUGAUUAGAGAGUGUUUAGUAGGGUCGUGUUGGGGUUUUUUAGAGUGUUGAAAGAGAAAGAAGAAGAAAGAGUAAGAAGGGAUCAAGCUUCUUGGUCGGAAGUUUGGAUGGUCUUAAUUCUUUAUUGGUCGUGUCAUCAUCAAAAGUUCGUGCACGCCUUCAUUUGCCAAAGAGAACUCUUAUUUAUUUAUUUUUUUUUUUUCUUCUAAAUUUUGUUUAAUUUCUGAAUUUUUUUUUCCUUAUAUUGUAAGACCACUGAUACUGAUAUUUAC